CCACCGUGCCCGGCAAAAGAAAAAUAUUUGUUUCCUAUACCUGGAGGCAGCAAGAGGAAUAGACUGCAAAGGAGUGUGAGAGAAUAUUUUGGCGUGAAGGUCACUCUGGCUAGAGGUCAGCUCAAGACUGUAAGGAAGAGACUGGAGAGACAGAGAAAAGAAGUGAGAGUCUGUCUUAAUCAUCCCAACGACAGACCAUUGGCUAUCCAAAUCAUCAGUACACCAGGGAUUAGCUUUCAGGUGGCCUGCGGACUUUCACCAUGAGAAACUCAAUCCUUGAUGGUGGGAGUGAAACCAACUUGUUUGCAGACGGAGUUUUGCUCUUGCUGCCCAGGCUGGAGUGCAAUGGCGUGAUCUCGGCU